ensembl:snRNA U2 U2 spliceosomal RNA
AUCGCUUCUUGGCCUUUUGGCUAAGAUCAAGUGUAGUAUCUGUUCUUAUCAGUUUAAUAAUGCCUGACAUUUAGGAACAACUCAGUAAAGAGCUUUGAAACGCAUGAGUGAUCAAACGAUACCUAAU